UUCUUACUACUUAAGUCUCUUUACAGAUCUUUCGAAAAAGAAAGCUCUCGGCGAUUAAUCAAAUGCGCCAACCAUCUGGAUGGUUCUCAACGAAUGCCCAUUUAAACCGAUUGAAAUCACAACAAAUGGCGAGCUGAGACAAGACGCUCGAAAAAAAAAUCCGGAUUGAACACGUUUCAACGAGCUUGCUGUAGCCGGCUGGCAAGUUAACGAUUAGCUCCGAACCGAGCCCAGCUCUACCCGAUUGUCACGUACCACUCAGAGGUAUGGGUCUAGAUUUCAUUGCUUUGCAACGCAGGAUCGCCCUAUUCUCAGGUGCCAAAAGGAUCAGUAUGUUUUUGGCUAAAACCCAUAGAUGGCUUGUUGUAACAGCGAUAGAAAAUAAUGAAGAGUUUGAGGCAUGUGUACUCGUGGUGUCAUAGUAUAUUCAGCACAGCUUGAGCUUGGACUACACAACACAUGAGUGAUGCGUUUUUCGACAAAAGAUCUUAUUCUUUGUUCAUCACAGAUUUCAAGUAGAUCCAUUCCGAGACACCCAGCACAAAGCCCGGAAACGAACAUCAUACGCUCUGGAGAAGUACAGACAUCAACAAUAGUAAAGUGAGUCCUGAUUAGAAUUUGUUCCAUUAAAUUCUUCGAAAUUUGAAUUAAAAUAAGCCUUUUGAAGUAAGGCCCUGGUGUAGAUAUUCGAUUAACAAGGAUCUCCGCAUUCUUCGAGGAAAAUGAAAAGCCCGUUGUAAAAGCGAUAGAUAACAAUGAAGGGUUUGAGGCGUGUAUACCCGUGAUGUUAUAUCAUAUUCGGCACAGCUUGGGCUUGGCCUACACAACAUGAUGUAGGAUACAGACGAGAAUAGUUUUAAAUAAUGGUUAAUUCUUUCGAUCAAUACAUACAUCCAAUUGAAUGUUAUUGGCUGAGCGUGUAAAAGGCUUUUUCAGAAACGGUUAAAGAUAGAAAAACGAAAUUGCGUCAGUUGAUUAACGAAUUUUGGCGAUAAUGGCUGUUUGUUGAUAUAGUGAUCCGGAAGAAGUCAGCGAAGAAUCUGACACAUGAGUAAUGCGGUUUUCCGAGAAAAGCUCGCAAUCGUCGUUAAACACAGAUAUCAAGUGCAUCUAUCUAAAAACAACCUACACUUAACCCGCAAUUUCUUCGACGCGAACUUACAUCAUACGCUCUGGAGGAGUACAAAUAUCAUUACUUAUAAGGUUUGUCACUAGUUGGACGCUGCGCAAUAAAAGGACACCUGACAAAAACCAGCUAUCUCUUAUUGAUUCCAUAAAACAGCAUAUGAUGAUGGUUAUGAUAUAUGAUUAUUGAGAUGCUGGAAACUUUUAUCAAAAUGGGAUAUAUUGGUUUUUCCCAUUGCGAUAGAUAACAAUGAACAGCUGGGGGCUGUUGGACGCUCCGUAAGAAAAGGUCCCAAUCAUUAUAAGUAUAUAAUUAACUUUGGUAAGCCGCGAAUGACUAAGAUGUUAAAACUACUAUAAUCGAAACAACAAAAAAUUAUAGAAGAUUUCUAAUUUGCUACGAUACAUAAGGGUGAGUCUUAAUUCAGAUUUAAUUAUUUAACACUACAUGUAGUCACAAACAAGCUAUACUAAAAACUGCAAAAUCAUUUUAGAAUAAAUAUUUUUUUCAAUUUUGAAUGGUUGGUUCUACAAGUAUGAAUUCAAGUUAAAACUGUAUUUCGAACUCUCGAAAAGUUUAUUAUUCAAAAAGAAGACUAUUAAACGAACUGGAAUCGCUGCCUUGGCAGAAUAGCCAAAAAUAUGUAUACUCAAGCAGAGUCAAGCGAGUGUUGCAAUGUUUUACCAAUGUUGUGUUGAGGCAGGAGGGCUUUGCUGCUGCUGUAGUGGUGAGCUUGCUUAAUGAGGAAAUAUUUUAUUGGAUCCGAGAGGGUUGUUUUUUUUCGAUGCUCGUUUCCCGUUUGUAUGUAUACGUGUAAUCUUUUGCAAAACUGCACAUUUUCGUAUCGACCAACUGCAACGUAUUAAUUUUUUUUCACCUUUUAUUAUUGGAAAUUUUAGACAGUUCCUUAUUUUUAAAAGGUAUUUUUGCCUGAAUUUUAAUAUUAACAAAUUAUUUCAGAAGAUAUAAACUUUGUGCGUAUAAUUGUUGAUAUCUGACAAGAUUCCCCACCUUCUCUUUACUAGGCAGAGAAUUGCGUUGGAAUGGAAUUACGUAUAAUAAUGACACCACUCAAUGUCAAUCGUUUUGAAUACGAAUUGUAUCAUUCUUUAUUCAAGGGUUUGUAAAAAUGAUACAGUAAACUAUACGUGAAUUUUGUCGAGGACUAGGAAUUUUUCAACAGAAAAACCGUUCUUUAUGAAGAAUUUAAUUUUUUUUCGGGGUUUGAAACGAGAUAUCUGUACUUUCACACGCGAUUCAUCUAGUUCACAAAUCGAACCGAGCUGGAAAGAAGGGGGAUGGCUUAACACACACACACACGAUCAUGGGUACCAUGUCGUUUUGCGAUAGGGUUCAAUAUAUAAACCAACCUGGGGCUGCCUGGCAAGUUUGGGUUUGUGUGUAUAUGUGUACUCGUUGACCGAGUGACUGGCUGGGUCGAGGCUUGCUUUGUGCUGCAGUUGCUUCUGUUCGAUCAGAAAGGUUUUCGCAGUCGUUGAAAGUGGUACUGUUUUUAGAGUCUCUGGCAUUUCAAAGUGUAGCUAAAGAAAAAAAAAGUCAAGAAAUUUUCACAAGUUCCAUAUUAGGAGUGCUGCCGUAGUUAAGUUCGAGUCCAGCAGAGAUUCCCAAGUGCAAGUUAUCUUUUCGUUCGUGGUUUCGGUUCCGAACACUGCUGUGCGAGAGUUCUAAAGCAGUACCAAAUGAGACAGUGAUGCACCUUUCCGACCAUCCGACCAACGGGGCUAGCUCUCUAUCGGCUUGGAUGUCGUCCGGAAACAGACCUAUUUCUUUUGCUUUCAGAUAGAACUCACGGUUAGUUCUGAAGGGGCGUACCUAGAGAAAGCUUCACCAAGUUGUGUAUCACAAAUCCUUGAGCAGUACGAAAGAAAGAAUGUGAUGAUGACGAGAUGAGGAGGAGGAAGGUUGUUAGGAGGAGGGAUUCAGAGAAAGAGAGAGAUAUAUGGGCCCAUCACCGAUCACGCACGACACGCAACGAAAGGUGUAUGGAGACAGAAAGAGGGAGAGAGAGAGCGCGAGAUAUGUGUUGGUUAACUGCAGCCGGAGGAGCGGAUACGUGACUCCGGAUCGAAAGUGUGUGAUCUCGAUCGAGUUUGGCAAGUGGCCUUCCUGAUGCUGCUGCUGUUGCUUCUGCUUCUGCUUUUGGUUCUGCCCGCAUACGGUCGAAAUCGGUGCGUUUCCGAGGUGCCGAGUUGUGUGUGACAGCAAUCAUCUUCUGACCCCAAAAAAAACAAGCCGGAGCCGGAGCCGAAUGCGUCACACUCGCGAGAACACGGAUCCACCACCCACCGGGGGCUAGCUAUCGAGCGAGAGGUGCGCUGGCAGGCGGCAAGGAAGAGGCGGGCGGCUACAGCGUCAAGGCGACGAGUGAGCGCGAUUCUCGGUAACACACUACACAAAUUAGCUAGUUAUCUAUUGACACAUACCUGAAGCAGCAUAUUUGAGAGUUAGUUUCAAGGAAUUGCACUAGUCUGUGGCAUCCUUAAGAAAGUCGUAGGCACCUGACAGGAAUGUGUGCGACGAGUAUUUUCAAAUAGUAGUGAGUACAUGUUGAAACGAAAGCAUGCGUUUCCAGUUGUAGUCAUAUACAUAGUAUAGCGUGGUGGAUUCGGUGAAAAAUCCGACCACUCAACAACGUUUAACCUGAUUUUGAGUUUUAUCCCCAACCAUAUAGUAAAGUCAACAAGCAACCGCAGGUAGACUGAUCAUGACUGAUUUAGGAAGGAGUGGGAGAGGCCGAGAUUCGGAUUGUUUGAACGACUUACGUAAGCGAGUUACAACAAUGAGUACGACGGCGAUGCACAGCUUGCGUGAGGCAUUUUUAGGGGGUCUUUCAGACACAGAAACUACGUGACGACAGCACCAUCAGAGUACAGACGAGUAUAAAGAGAAACGAAAUGAACAAAAAAUGAGGUCACCUUGCGCGAACAGAUUUGUAGAUGCGCGUCUGCGGGAAAGGCGAAAUAGAAACAAAGAGAGAGAGAGGGAUCGUCGUACAGAAAGGAACACACCAACAGAGAUUUUUGAAAUGGAUAGCGGUAAAUUGCGCUAAUUUAACUUUUUUCCAACAAAAGUUUUCGAAUUUCCAGACAAAAUAGAUAUCAGAGAUAUCGAUUGGAAUGGGUUUGAGGUUUGUAGAGAUGCAGCAAAAGGAGUAAGAAAGCAGGUUGAAAAAAUGGCGGGUACAAUGGUUAGAUAGUAGCUGCACAUCAUUCCUCCACCCGCACGACGAGAUACGAGUUAAGUCCGUAGCAAGUGUUGGGGCCGAUCAUCAUGUUAAAAACGUGUUUAGAGACCAGCCUAACCGGUCAUCCAGCACACAGGAAGAGAAAUUUACUUUCGUUUUGCAGAUUUAUAUUUUGAUUUUUCCCCCAACGAAGAAGAUGAUGAUGAUCGUUGCAAUCAAGAGAGUGCACUCAUUACAAGGUAAAGUGCUUUUAAAUGCAGUUUGACGAAGCCCGUUUUUAUUUUGCAGCAAGCCUUAUUGAGCGAUUUGGAAAGAUCAAUCAUUGCGCUGGUAUGAUGAAAUUAAAAAAUGAAAGCCAUUGCGCUACUGUAGCUUAGAUAGCCCCUGCAAUUAUGUGCAGUAGAUCUCAAAUCAUAACACUCUUUAAGUAGUUCGAAUCCUGCCCUCAGGCAGCAUGAUUUCAUCUUUACAGAAAGCAGAACGGUCCAGCUCCUGUUCAGGAGGCUGAGUUUUAUUGUUUCUUUUUUUAUUUUACUGUUUCUUAUGCCUGGAAUCCGACACUCCAAUGUGAAAGGACCGCCUAGAGCACACACACACACACACUUGUGUCAUGGAACGUGUCUAUCCCAUGGGUCCCGAGUCCUAAAAUAUUCGGUAAAAUUGUUCCACAUAAAUCUACGCAAACGGAAGUUUGUUUCGUAUUUACAGCGAGACGGCAUGGUCCGGCCAGAUACCCUACAUCUGGCCGAGUUUCUCUCUUUAUCAUUUCCUUUUACUAUAUUUAACCGGAAACCGGAAGGCACACCCCGAGCUCUUAGAACCGUACCGGACGAUUUUGAACCCUAGAGACAAACCGCGGCCUACAUCCGUCCUUCUUCCCGUGGGCUUCCGAUCAAGGAGUAGACAAACAGACAGAUCAUUCACAACUCGUGGUAAAAUGCAAUUUUAUUCUGCCUAGAAACCCGAGUUUUCGUCUUUACAGCGAAUACGGUCCGGCCCCGUCCCUGGGAGGCCGAGUUUCUCUGUUUAUUGUUUUCUGUCCUUUUUUUCGCACACGAUAAUCGCCGGAGCUGUGGCCACUGCGAGUGUACUACUGACAGAAACUUUAGCCCGUCUUUCGAGAGAUGUGGAGAACCGCAACCCACCCACAAUGGAACGAAAGCGCAAUAGACGGAAACAUCCGGGCCUGGACGGCGCGUGAAUGCUGCUAUGAAUUUUCUAUCUAUUCCCCCGGUCCGGCUCUCAUAACCAGCCGAGUUUCUGUGUUCUUUUGUUUUUGUUUUCGUUUAUGACCUACUUCCAAUCUGGACUCACAUGAAACGGAACGACAUGGUUCGGCACUAGGCCUCCUAACAAUGAAGCAACCUACCGAUCUGCUGCAGGGAGUAGUGAAACGCGGAAGCAGCCGUCGUGACACAACCUUGACGGUCUGUGACUUGACUGGAAACUGGGAGCAGACAAAUCGAUUCGGUAAAUUUGAAAGGAACCCUUACCCCACAACGGAACCCGUUUUCUUUUGCAGUCGACUAGUCGAGACCAUCUACUAGCACCCAUCUACUAGCUUUGGCCGGUCGGGUUGGCUCUUACGCAAUCAAUGUUAUCCACUAAAGACGGCCGGCUCACUGCCACGAGAAACAAAAUCGAAAUAAACCGCAGAGAGUUGUUCGUUGUUCCCUUACCACAUUCAUUGCGUUCGAAGUAAGCUACAACAAAUUUGCAGACAAACCCCCAGUUUUACCUUUUGCAGAGAGAAACGUGGAAUUGUGAUCAUUUCUCAGACAGAGCUUAGCUAAUUGCACAUUGUUUUUGGCGCUAAUCUGAUCAACUGUGGCGUUUUGAAAUUUUGAACGUGGGAAAACCGAAUCCAAACGAUUACCUACCUAUAUCAACGUAGAAAGCCUUAUAUGUAACAUUUUCUGGCCCAUCCACACAGCAUGGUUGUGGCAGUCGACUAGAUAUCCUGAAGUCCUCCGAGAGAUGUUCGACACAGAUCAACGUUCACUGAUAAACGGUAAACUUUGUAUUACUUCCACCCCCAACAAUCCUUAGUCUAUUACAGCAAUCAUACCUAUAUGGAAAGUAUUUAUUCGCUUUAAACCGCAAGGAUUUAUACGGUUCGUUCCACCUAGGACGCACAAACAGGUUUUUAAAAACGAAGGAAUUACCGGUCAUCAACCAAUCUACCAAUCCCAAUCAUGUUUUAAACAUCGUGGAAAGCAAGCAUCAUGUGUCCAGGCAUUCAUUAGGCGAUUUGGUGGCGAUCUUCCUCGACAAAAUUGUGUCCCUCUACUACUACUACUACUUACCGCAAGAAAAGCAUCCCCUGGCAGUUGUACACACCUCUAAUAACUACGUAUUGCACCCCGGAAACACCCGGCCCUUCGUGUGUUUGUCUGUGUGUGUGUGGGGAAAAACGCAAGAAGAAAGCAUGUCUCUGGUGGUAGCUAUGCUAAUUUGUUUUGUUACUUUCGUUUACUAUUUUCUCACCAACAACCAAAAAAAAAAGAAACAAGCCGGAAGGUUUGAAAUAUUCUUACUUUUAUUCGAUUUUAUAUAUUUCUAAUACCAGUAGUUUUUAGAAAAAAAAAAAACAUUUACACACACAUUUGUAUUUUACGGUAGUAUUUGUUAUGCUUUUCCCGUUUGACUGGACAGUCAUCGGGGCUGUUGGUUUUUUCAACUUAAUCUAUUGUCUUUUGCAGAGUUGUCGAUUGUUUAUGUUGAAACGAUGAUGCAUUUACCUCUUAUUAUAUUGUUUUGGCAAGCAGGAAAAAAAAUCACAAAAAAAUUAAUCCAUCCAGCGCGCUUGAAAGUUUUGUUAACACUAAAAAUCAUCCGCAAAGUGGUGUUGAAGAUUUUAUAAGUAAAUUUGAUUGUGCACACAAUGGAAAACAGAAACAUAAAAAAAAAGUUAAUACCAGGGAAAACUACUAUGUGCUUUAGAACUUAAGUUGUGAUUGGGCUUAUCUCUUUUAAAACAAUGUUAAUUGCCACAGUUUAUUUUACUUACCGUUCCUAUCUCGUACCUUAUUAAGUAUGAUAAGUAUGUGCCUAUUGUUUGAAAGUGUUUUAACCUUUUUAUACAUCUGCAUAGUUUCACACAUCUUUUGACUCCGCUCGUCCGGAUCAUUGUAACGUUUCUCUUAUCUUAUCUAGUGCGCACACACACAUUCACACCUGUGUUGGUUGUGUAUUUUUCUAUUGUUAUAAAAACAAACGGGUUAAAACUAGCCGAAUAACUACUGCCAAUAGCAUACCUUUUUAUGCAUAUACCCAUUAUUUUUUAAUUGUGUAUACAUUUGUAGCACCCCUAUUUAUUAAGCGUGACUGAUCAAGAGUAGUUGCUGGAGCGCCUUUACUAACCGAGUCGGAUGAUGUGUAAUGCUUAUACUUUUUGGAAACCACCUAUCUAUUAUUAUCAUUAUUACAAUUAAAACUACUUUUUCUAUUAGUGUGCUUUGUGCGCUUAAAGCCAAGCAAAAAUACACCACUUAAAACACAUAGCAGAAAUUGAAAAAAAUCUACUGUGACAAGAUCAUAAAAUCGAUGAUGAAAUUAAUGUUUUUCGUGUUUUAUAAAUAUUUUGUAAUGUUUAUAAGAAGAAUGUAAAAAAUGUGCUAUUUAUUAUUGAUGUACCUGAAAAAAAAAAACGUUUGUAAAUUUUUAUCGAUUACUGAAGAAACUAAUGUUCCAGCCAGUGAGAGCUCUGAAAAAUACCUAUUUUAUAAAUUUUAUCCAUACUUAUGUAUGUAUUGUGAGAAAAAAGUUAUGUAUCAACUAAUUAUACAAAUCUGAUAUGUGAAGUUUGAAAAUUUGUCGAAAUAACGAAAAUGAUGUUAUUGUUAAAUGUUGAAGAAAAUGUUAAGAAAAUUGAAGAAUUCAAUCAAAUUUAUGUGAUGUGUUGUAUUGAAAAACUAAAUGUUUAGACGAAUUUUGGAAAAGUAUAUCUACAAUGUAUUGUAAAAAUUUCAACUGUGAUAAAGUUGUGAGUGAAGUUAUGUUCUGUUUUUUAUCAUUCAAACUCUAUUGUAUGACUAGUUCUAUGUGCUUUGUGCGUAGACGCAAUUGAAGAAAAAACCCAUGAAAUUUUAUAAUUUAUCUAGCAAGAUUUGACAAGUUUCAUGCAACGCAUGUAUGAACUCGAAGUGAGACGAAAUAACUAAACAAUAAACAAACGGAACAAGUUAAGUGAAAUUUCAAGUUAUGGAAAAAAAAUUGUGUAAAGUUAUUGUGAUGUUGAAAAGUGUUUUUCUUCCAUUUAUUCCUUUAUUAUGAUCAGUUUCAUGCAAUGUAUGAACCUUCUAAAUACUGAAACGAAACAUAAAGCCUGAACAAGUGAACAAAAAAAAACGAAAAUGUUUUGUAAUGAUAACGUGUUGGUUAUCAAAAAAAAUAUCAAGAAAUUUAUACAAAUGUGAAUGAUCAAUUGUUGUCAAACGAAGAAGCAUCUGUACAAAAACGCAUUGUUUAUUUGUAUGUGUAAUCGAGAUCGAUGUUUAAUGAAAAUGUAUUUUUCUAAUUCUAGAAAAGUAGAAUGUUUUUCUAAAGUGCAAAUUAUUGCUUGUUUAUAAAUUGUUGAUUUAAUUUCAAUAGUGCCAACGGUUUGUGUACUAGUUUGAGUGAAUUUGAUCAAUAUUUUGCUAUUAAAUUGUUUUGUGAUAUUCUUAUACUAUUACCUACCGAUUACUAUUAUGUACAGUGAUACGAAAAUCUCACUUUGUUAUGCCGGAAAAAAAUUGUUUAUGGAAUUUGCUUUAUUGCAUCUGUAAUGUAAUUUUAACACAAUAAGUUUGAAAUAAGUUUACCUAAAUAGUAACACGUUCUUGAACAUCAAUGUGAUGCCCUGAGUGCACUUUAUAUCUAUACCUAGUAUUAUUACCUAUAUGGAAUUUGUGUAUUUUAAAAACCAAAAAAAAAAUUAUGCAUGUGUAAUCGAAGAAAAACACACGAGUAGAACACCACACGGUUGUUGGUUGCUAGAAGAAAAAUAUUCACCCCGAUCCCGGCGGAAGAUGGCCGUGAGAUUUACACACACCCACAUUUGCUGAACCUGAGCAGCUGGGCUUCUUUUUCCGAGUCAUCCGGUUUGCAUCGGUAUUGUUGUUGCCCUAUUCAUCAAGCUUUCUGCGAAAUUGGUCGCACACCGCGAAGGAGCUCAUCCACCAUCAUUUGAUCGUCACGAAAUUAUUCUAAUAACCGGUCCAGGUCCCGCCCGCCUUGAACCAUCAUUUAUCGACAUUUUGUCGUUGGGAUACGAUUCGCCUACGAAGAGCCUAAUGAGAUGAUAGCACAUGUUGGUCCCCGUCAGACACCUUGAAAUUUCCGAUUAACGCUGUGGCACAAACUUCACACACUUUUGGGUCCGAUCCAUUCCGAUUUUAUGAAAUAACGUAGGAGUCUUUGUGGAGAUACACAUUCGGUAAAUCUUGCACUCCUUUGCUUUUGUUUUACGUAACGGGACUCGGGGCCUUCGAGCCCUGGUCCCGCAUUUCUCUUUUUUUCAGAUAUUUCUCACGACCCUUUCAAGAAAAGCACAGACUUGGCUUUAUAACUAUCACAUGUUUAAGUUCAUCUUUCCGAACACACUACCUACUUGGUUAUGUCACACGAUUCGAUUUGGGAGGUCCUGGUGGGUUCCUCGAGAAAUAGGCUUCUGGUUCCGUUCUUAAUAUUGGGUAGCGACGAUGACGACGACAAGACAAGACAAGGGUGGCUGGCUCCAAGCGCGUUCAUCGAUCAGGCACGUCCGGGGUAAUCGACGGUUCGGUUCGGUCCUGCUGCUGCUUGUUUCGAAAGAACGAAAGAAGAGGAGGAAUGCGAGACGAGCUAAUGGUUCCUUUAGGGCGAUCGAUCGAUGGUGGGCCUGGCAGCGCGCGCCUCUUGUGGAGAGAAAUUCCGGAUGAUGGAUGACACUUAGGCAUCGUACGUGGUCCAUGGAAUUGUCCCAGUUGUCGUCAGCUUACUUUUUGAGAGGAACUUCUGGCGAAACUAAUCGAGACUUGAGGAAACCAUUUGGUUAGGAGAAUUCGGGUAGCAGCUUAUUAAGGAAAGGCGAAAAGUGAUUUAAGAAAUGUAUUCUACAAAUCGGAACGAAUGAAUGAACAACGGAAGUCAACGGGAAUAUCAAUUUGGAAAGCGAGAACCAGAUCUUUGGAAAAAGUUAAAGAAGUCUUCAUACAAUAAUGAAAUCAAACAAAUCAACGUUUUGAAAAACCAUCGCUAUUAUUGUCUACAAGUUUCAACACGAAUUAUAUCAACUCACAAGUAACUGAAGAUAGUCAAAUUCAAGAUCUAGAAAACGACUUAGCAUGGCAUUCACACCUUGAACAAUGUCCUUGAUCAAUGAAUUAUAAUCGUCAUCACUGAAGAAUCUCACUGAAUAGAAUGGAGACAUCACCUGUUAAAAGUGUUUCGACAUUGAAAGUACCAAAAAAACGGAUCAAUAAGUAUUGCAUCCUGAAUUGUUCUUGAGUAACGAACAAUAAUCGCCGACACUGAAGAAUCUAUUUUUCAAACCAAAUUUAAAAAUGAAAAAUCAGCAUCAUAUUAUGAUUGCCAAUUGUCACACUUAUAUCACUUGCCAAUUUCAACUUGAUUGGUCAACGACAACACGCAACUUAAACUUCAAAAAGUUGAAACAGCAAACCAACUUUUUUUAAAUUGAAGUCCUUAGUAAUCUAGAGAUUUACUAGUUCCUGACUUCAAAGUGACGUGCUGAGAUCAAAAAUAAGAUACCAUGAAACGGUUCAAAUGUUCACCUUUUUCGAUCGUUAAUAGUCAAAAAGGUGGUACGAAACCUGAAAGGCCACCUCGGCUAGUAAAAUUCAACCCCUACUCUGGAAAGUAAAUUCAUCAAUUAUCAAGAAGACGUGUUUGCGGAGCGACGCUUAAAAGAGAAUAAUUCAAGCUGAGUCAGCAAAACUAAGUUAAAAUGUGUUAAAAAAAGUGAAUGGAGCCCAAACUAGCAAAUUGGAAAAGGGCUAUUUUCAACAAAAAUCGAUGAAAACCAAAUUAAGUACACCAAAAGAUCGAGUUAUCAAAAAGCAGAAUGCAAGACUUAAAUAAGUGAAACAAAGUGUUGUUUUCAAAGAACAUUGGACAACAAGUGCUGAAAGUUAGUGAAAGUUUACAAAAAUCGGAAGGCCGACAUCUGCAUAUCGAAAAAAAUGAAAUCAAUUUGUUUUCGAUGCGAUCGCUAUUCGUAUAAUUUCUGUUACGAAGCAGCUACACAUAAAAUCGCCGGAAUGUCUUAACAAAUUUAAAAAAAGGCAAAUGAAUGGGCUGCCCUUAUUGCUUAAAUUAGCUGGUAUCCCUUCAAAAAAAAUCUGUUUGAAUUACUUACAAGUGAUAAUAGUUAUCCUGAAGGCCGAUGAAAAAAAGAGGCUAUUGUUAAAACAAACAGGCCUUGAUUAUCGGGUUGCUGAAGUUUGCGCCGAAUUUAUGUUCCAUUAAAUGAGAGAAGGAAUCACCCCGGUUAUCAAAAAUCUCAGAUGUAUACCACUUCGAAGAGAAUUUGUUUGAAUAAGUGAUAAAAGCUAUCCUGAAAGUCUGGAAUGGUCGAAACACGGCCUGUUGUAAAGUAAACCAGUCCUGCAAUUUUUAUUGCAGAAGUAUACCGAAGUCAUGAUAUCCAUUGAAGUUUUAAAAAAGUUUUUGGCUACGUCUUCGAAGAAAGUUUGUUUAAAAGGCAUCAAAUGUUAAAAGUUAUCCUGAAACCUGAUUCGUUCAGUAAAACAGGCUGUUGUAAAAUAAACCAGCCUUGUGAAGUUCGUUUCGAGUAACCUAAAUGAUGGCCCAUUGGAUGAGAGAAGGAUUCACAGUUUUGAAAAAUUCGUCGUUAUUUCUUCGAAGAAAGUUCGAUUUAACAAAGGCAUGUGAAAAAUGUGGCUGUUGCGGAAUAAACCCAGCCUUGAUGCAGAAGUUUGUCCCAAUUCAAAGUCCGUUAAAUGAGAGAAGUUUCAAAGUUUAAAAAAUUAAAUAUCCAAAUCGUUGGAAAAAAAAAAUCUGAAGAAGCAAGUGAUUGAAGUUGAAUCAAAUUAUUAAAAAAAUAAGGCGUUGUUAUAUCCCGCCUAAUUGAAAAGGCUUCGAAAUGAAUCAAGCCGAUCCAGUGAAGUUAUUGGUGUUUGAUCGCUGCUUCGAAUGUUAUUACAAGUUUACAACCGGAUGAGAAUGUUUCUCGCAACAUCAACCCCAACCUGGAAAAAAUCAGUGAUGAAAUGGCAAGGCUUUUAAAAUGCUAGUGAAUCAAAAGGUGAAUCUGAAGGUUGUUCAGCAGAAAAAAAUCAGUUCGUUCUCGGAACGAGAGUUUUAUUCAGUGCCGUGAAGUGGCUUAUUUUAAAUUGCUUAAGCCUGAAGUAUGAUCACACCCAGAGCUGUUGAAAGCUGUGUGAAGAUCGAAAAUGAAAUAAGUGAUGAUUAGAGCACGUAUAUCUAUUGAAAAAUGCCAUUGAGAGAAAAUGUGUCUGAAAAGUGAAUGAAAAAUCACCAACUAUCAAGAAGCACCAAUCAAAAAGAUAAAGUUUCAUGAAAUGAUACCAACCAGCGUUAUGUUCGUUUUGCAAAACGCGCGAGCUAUGAAAUUGAUGAUAAAUGCAAAGUUAUCUACAGGCUAUGAUUGAAAAUGCCGAAUGUAAGAAAGCAGUUUGUUCGAGAAAAAUGUUAAAAACCAGUCGUCGUUAUUUGAAAAAGGCUGUUUAAGCUUUCGUUUCCUUUCUAUGAAAGGGAACACUGCCCAUAAACAGACUUUUAAGGAAAUUGUUAGAUAGAAGUUGACGCACACAUCCGUACAAUCGAAGCUGAAUCAAUUAUUUCACCACCAACCACAAAAUCAACAAUCGAAUGAGAGGAGAUUUUUACCAAUGGAGAGCUCGAUAAGGUUUACGAAAUUGGAAGGUUCGUUCUUGGUCCUAGAGAGAAGUACUACUACGCACAGGAGAUUCGAAUUCGGUAAUUGUUCGAUCAUCGACAUCUUUCACUUGAUCCAAAACAAAAAUCACUUAAGCUGCUAGGCGAGGAUAACUGUGUCUCGAUGAGGAGAGCACUCCCAGGAGAGGUCCCAAAACCGACAGUUCCCAAAAUACCUAGCCGAAAAAUGAUCAAUUUCGCCCGGCUCGUUCCCUCGGGGACUAGCUGGGCCAUCGAGAGGCAAUUCCUUCCCGGGGCCACGCUUUGGCUGGUGUUUCACCUUGAAUCCGCACCUUCACAAAUACACCAUUCCUCGCAAUAUUGGGGCAAAUUUUAGGUUUAGGUGAGACUGCAGCCAUAUAUUUAUCGUUUACGAGCGAUUCAAGAGAACACGCUGAGCAUUGCAAUGCACAUCUCGAAUAGAAAAUCCUCUCCGUGACUAAAACUCAUUCCAGCAGAAUGCCGAACUACAGGAAUAUAUAUAUUAAAACGAAUACCAAAAAAAAACACAUCUUAAACUAAUAUUUCUUCCUAUCUCUCGAGCCGCUGUAACCAACUACUGUUCUUCCGACGAAGCCGUUUGUUUAUUUUUUGUUUCCAAAACUGGCCGAAUCCGGUGCACAAGACCACACUUCCAGUGCACUGGGGCAGGCCUUUCAUUGAGGCUGAUUUCGCCAGCGGCGAAGCGGCCAGGAAGAGUGCCCCGAGAAAUUGAUCGUUUUUCUUCCUUCAGUCCAGUCCAAUAUCAGAGUAUUUCACCACUUAUGAUGAGAGAAGAGGCAAGCAAUUCACACACACGCAAUCACGUGGACAGAGCGAGAAGUACUCUAGAGUCUAGCUAAAGGAGGCAGGGUAGGCACCACACUCAGUUGAAAGCUUACCGCUUCCCUGAGGGCGAGAGAGAUAGAUUGACCAUUUUCACUUGAGACAUGACCGAGAGAGAUGUUCAGAGGAGGAGGGUAGGCGGAUGGCCCAGGCAAGCGUGAAGAGGAAGCGGAAAGUCGCGAGAAGAUGGGUCCAACGCGUCGAGUUAGGGUUCCAGGGUUCCGGAGACGGCGGCGGCGGAGGCCUUUCUCAGCCAGUGAGAAGAGCCCACGGAUACGGACCGUGUCCGUUGGGUGACCAGCGAGAAGAGAGAAAGUGUCCUUGGAGGGUGGAUGGAUCGGCGGGAAGGCGUCGGCGGCGGCGAAGGCGGAUGGAUGUCCCGUGGUUAACAAGCGAGAAGAGCUCGUAACACGGACGGUGUUACAGAGUGGCCAGCGAGAAGAGACCAUGGCAACGCGGGGAUUAGGACUUCGUUUUUCUUCUUCACUCUUGAGUAGCGUGUAGGGCAAGGCUUAAAGUUUGAAACAUCGACGUUUCUCUUUCUAUGAAGCAACUUUUUCAAGGUUGAAUUUUUUUUCUUAACGUUAAAUUAUACGAUUAAAAUUGAAUUCUUACCUCAAAGCUAGAAUUAUAACUUAUCAGUAUACUUAUUGAUACUUUUACAAUAUGUCUAUUCAAGUUUACGCACCAAGCCUGUGUUCCUUACGGCGAUAACGAUAUUUUGUUAUUCGCAAAACAAAACAUUUCUGUCGAAUGAAAACAAAAGACUGAAAACAUAAAACAAAAAAAAUCAAAAUUAAAAAAAAAACAAAAAAGCAUUUGAAUCGGUAUUAAACAUUUUUUAAAAUUAAAAAUAUAAACAA